rnacentral:rRNA from 1 species
AUUGAACGCUGGCGGCAUGCCUUACACAUGCAAGUCGAACGGCAGCACGGGAGCAAUCCUGGUGGCGAGUGGCGAACGGGUGAGUAAUAUAUCGGAACGUGCCCAGUCGUGGGGGAUAACGUAGCGAAAGCUACGCUAAUACCGCAUACGAUCUAUGGAUGAAAGCGGGGGAUCGCAAGACCUCGCGCGAUUGGAGCGGCCGAUAUCAGAUUAGGUAGUUGGUGAGGUAAGGGCUCACCAAGCCGACGAUCUGUAGCUGGUCUGAGAGGACGACCAGCCACACUGGGACUGAGACACGGCCUAGACUCCUACGGGAGGCAGCAGUGGGGAAUUUUGGACAAUGGGCGCAAGCCUGAUCCAGCAAUGCCGCGUGCAGGAUGAAGGCCUUCGGGUUGUAAACUGCUUUGUACGGAACGAAACGGUGAGCUCUAAUACAGUUUGCUAAUGACGGUACCGUAAGAAUAAGCACCGGCUAACUACGUG